rnacentral:rRNA from 1 species
CUACGGGAGGCAGCAGUGGGGAAUCUUAGACAAUGGGGGCAACCCUGAUCUAGCGAUGCCGCGUGAGUGAUGAAGGCCUUAGGGUCGUAAAGCUCUUUCGCCUGUGAUGAUAAUGACAGUAGCAGGUAAAGAAACCCCGGCUAACUCCGUGCCAGCAGCCGCGGUAAUACGGAGGGGGUUAGCGUUGUUCGGAAUUACUGGGCGUAAAGCGCACGUAGGCGGAUUAGUCAGUCAGAGGUGAAAUCCCAGGGCUCAACCCUGGAACUGCCUUUGAUACUGCUAGUCUUGAGUUCGAGAGAGGUAAGUGGAAUUCCGAGUGUAGAGGUGAAAUUCGUAGAUAUUCGGAGGAACACCAGUGGCGAAGGCGGCUUACUGGCUCGAUACUGACGCUGAGGUGCGAAAGUGUGGGGAGCAAACAGGAUUAGAUACCCUGGUAGUCCACACCGUAAACGAUGAAUGCCAGUCGUCGGGUAGCAUGCUAUUCGGUGACACACCUAACGGAUUAAGCAUUCCGCCUGGGGAGUACGGUCGCAAGAUUAAAACUCAAAGGAAUUGACGGA